CGAGGGAGAUGAUGAUGAAGAGGAAGAUAGCUCACAGCAAGCAAGCGGAGAAACCGGUUUUCCUGACAGCCAGGAACUGUUUCUUACCCUGGGCCUGGAACCAGUAUCCCCCGAACCCACACAAGGCUGCCUCCCAGACCCGCCAGGCGGAGAAGGGACCUCUGCUGCAUGUGUUUCAAGGAUCACAGGAUCUUCUCCUUUUCAGAGGCUAGCGAUGAUUCGAAGGCAAAAAAAAUGCACUUGCGAUGAAAUGUUCUCUGAGCUCAUGCUGUCUUCCCACACUGACAGAGCACAGACGAAUGCAUGGAGGCAGACAAUAUCAGAGU